AAAGAGAUCGAUCUCUCACCUCUAAACCUAGCGCCGCCAUGCCACGCCGCCUUCGCUGCCGAGCUCCUCUCCUUCCCACCCCGUACUCGCCAUCGUAGGUCCACCGCCCUGCGCUCGCCGGCCGCCAGCAGCAGCCCCGGGGACGCCAUCCUCCAGGCGGCGGCCCAGCCCCAGUACGCCCGUCCUCCAGGCGGCGGCCCAGCCUCACGAACACGGUGAUUUUGGAGGCCAUAAGGGAUCCUGCGAUCGAGCGCACAAGGGCUGGUCACUAGAUCUUUAGCAAUAGCUUGGUCGGUUCAUCUAUAGAUUAUGGACACUCACGUAUGCAGGUGUUUGAUAAACAACCUCUGAGAAUACCCUGACAAUACAAGAUGAAACCUUUCUCAUGUUAUCUGGUAAAGAGAGCUCCCUGGAUGGAUAUAUUAUCAUGUUUGUAUGUCUCUAUACUUAAUAUGGUUACAUGACAUCUACGAGACUAGAUUGAAUUUCUGCAGUGCAUGUUUACCUCGAUGUGAAAAAACGGAUUUUAAAGGCGGCAACCACAAGGAUAAACUAGAGAGGCAGAGAAAGCAAGGAGCUAUUGUUCCAUUAUCAGCAUGUAGAUACUACAAGUCACAUAUGUUUGAACUAGUUUGUGAGACAUGUAAUUAUUUUAUAGACAAUGUGUACAAUUGAGUUUGUAAACUACUACUGGCUCCUUCUCACUGUAAUGGUGUAAUACAACAUUAUUAUUUUGUGCGAUGACAUACAAUUUUUUAAUAUAU